AUGCCGCGUGUGUGAAGAAGGCCUUNNNGGUUGUAAAGCACUUUCAGCGAGGAAGAACGCCUUGGGAUUAAUACUCUCGAGGAAAGACAUCACUCGCAGAAGAAGCACCGGCUAACUCCGUGCCAGCAGCCGCGGUAAUACGGAGGGUGCAAGCGUUAAUCGGAAUUACUGGGCGUAAAGCGCGCGUAGGUGGCUAAGUCAGCCAGGUGUGAAAGCCCCGGGCUCAACCUGGGAACGGCAUCUGGAACUGCUUGGCUAGAGUGCAGGAGAGGAAGGUAGAAUUCCCGGUGUAGCGGUGAAAUGCGUAGAGAUCGGGAGGAAUACCAGUGGCGAAGGCGGCCUUCUGGACUGACACUGACACUGAGGUGCGAAAGCGUGGGUAGCAAACAGGAUUAGAUACCCUGGUAGUCCACUGCUGCCUCCCG
rnacentral:rRNA from 1 species